AGGACAAGGGGAGGGGCGCGGGGGCGGGGCCGAGGCACGGACGCCGCGAAGCCCCGCCUCCUACGGCAAGCCGGAGGUAGCAAGAUGGCCGCCGCUGAGGAGGCUUUUGGUGCUGGGGCCGACGCGGACCGGGAAUUGGAAGAGCUGCUGGAAAGUGCUCUUGAUGAUUUCGAUAAGGCCAAACCCUCCCCAGCACCCCCUCCUACCACCACGGCCCCUGAUGCUUCGGGGCCCCAGAAGAGAUCGCCAGGAGACACUGCCAAAGAUGCCCUCUUCGCCUCCCAAGAGAAGUUUUUCCAAGAACUGUUCGACAGCGAGCUGGCUUCCCAAGCCACUGCAGAAUUCGAGAAGGCCAUGAAGGAGUUGGCUGAGGAAGAGCCCCAUCUGGUGGAGCAGUUCCAAAAGCUCUCAGAGGCUGCCGGGAGAGUGGGCAGUGAUGCAACCUCCCAACAAGAAUUUACAUCUUGCCUGAAGGAGACACUAAGUGGACUUGCCAAAAAUGCCACUGAUCUUCAGAACUCAGGCAUGUCAGAGGAGGAACUGACCAAGGCCAUGGAAGGGCUGGGCAUGGAAGAAGGGGAUGGGGAAGGGAACAUCCUCCCCAUCAUGCAGAGUAUCAUGCAGAACCUACUGUCCAAGGACGUGUUGUACCCAUCACUGAAGGAGAUUACAGAAAAGUAUCCAGAAUGGUUGCAGACUCACCGGGGGUCUCUUCCUCCAGAGCAGUUUGAAAAAUAUCAGGAACAACAUAGUGUCAUGGGCAAGAUAUGUGAGCAGUUUGAGGCCGAGACCCCCACGGACAGCGAGGCCACUCAGAAGGCUCGUUUCGAGAUGGUGCUGGAUCUCAUGCAGCAGCUACAGGAUUUGGGCCACCCUCCAAAAGAGCUGGCUGGGGAGAUGGUGAGUAUAGCUUCUCUUAGAUUUGAACCUGAGCCCAAGUUUCUGGAAUUCUGUAGUCUCGAAUGAGUCCACUUGAGGUGAUCGCUGUGGCCACUGGGGGCGCACCUUCAACAGCUGUCGCUUGAGGCCCACCAGGUGCCAAUGGCGAACAGUGUCUGAUCAUGUGAAACACAACACGCGUUCGGCCCUGAUUCCCAGCCAUGGGGAACAUCUGGAGGCAGCAGAACCACUGGGAGCCGAGGCAGGAGUGUCGUCUGCAAGAGCAGUCUGCCCACUGCCCUGUGUCAUCCCAGCUGAGAUUGUGCCAUACCAGCUGAGGCUUUUACUCUUUCUGGUAAUAAGGCCUAUUGUGCGGGCCGUUUCUGUGAACCCUAUCCGUCGUGGUUUCUGCUGCUAGCAAAGGCCCAGCUACCUACCAGGUGAAGGAAAGCAUCCCUUUGGGGGCAUGCCCUUCUUCCCCCUCCCAACUAAUGUUAUGUAUGGCCACACUGAUGUUCACUUUUACAUCCAGGGUCUUUGUGCCUUGUCUCUACUCCCUCCCUCGGACUGGGGAGCAGAGACAGAGUCCUGGGGCUCCGUAUUUCUCUAGUUCUUUUGGGAAGAGCCUUUGGAAAUGAAUGGGGAGAAAUUCAGCCUGGGCUGGGGCUCUCGGUCUGUCACCGCGUCCUCUUGCCUUCAGACAGACCGUUGGGAAUUCCGUGGAGGGAAAGGAAGUAGGGGCUUUUGCCUCUGAUCACAGUAGGGUUGAAAGAGAAGCCCUGGGAUUCUCCUCUCGCCAGGUGCUGAGCCUCCAGGUCCCUGGUGUAGUUUGAGAACUCAAGUCACCAGCUUGGGUCUUUGUAUGACGCUGUGUGAUCUGGGUGAACCCAGCCCUUGACCUUCCUGUGCCCCCUGCCUCUCCUCCUCUUCUCUCUUUUUAAAUACCUGUUUAUCCCAGCCCUUCUCUGCACCCAAGCUGUGACAUGGAAGGGCCAUCCACUACUCUGAUUGGCCUCCUCCCUGGAAAACAUACAUAAUUACAGUGUCAGGUCUAGGAAAUGAAAGACCAUUCUUCCCCAGAUGUGUUCUGGCUUAUUUGAGACCUCUGAUUUCUCUGAAUCCUGUCCCUUGAUUAAGCAGGUGACUUGGGAACGGGAGUGGGGUGCAGCUCGGGUCCUUUCUCUUGACUAAUAAAUAUUCUGAUUGAGGAGUGUGGCCUGUUUUUCGUUCAGGUCUUUCUCUGAUCUUCCUCGGCUUCUGUAAGCUGCAGCGUGAGGAAUGUUUGCAGACCAGUUCAUACCAUUGCAGUGCUGGUUCUACCACCGCCCCCUUCCCCAGCUGAGGCUGCCCCUCGGUUGGCCAAGGACGCUGGAUGGCCAUCUUGCCUCGUUGCCUCUGGGUGUUCCAAUCUGGGAAGCCCUUCAGUUGGUGUUGUAUCCUAAGGUUUCACAUUUUUAUUAUUGUUAGCAAUAUAUUACUAACGUUUUUAAAAUUAUUUCUAUUAUCAUUGUUAUUUUGAGUUGAUCUUGCCCUUCUCUUUGGGAACCACUGCAUCUAUGGACCUUGGCUGCCAUGUGUUGGUGGAUACUCUGGUCAGACCAGCUGGCUCUCCUGUCUCAGCACUCAGAAGAUAAUGCACAGGGCAGGUGACACUCAGCCUCUGAGUCACUUUGCGCUCUGAACAUGCCACUUUCCAUGGGUUAAGCUUUCUUACCCUUAAGACGAUUCCACACUUUCUGUGGAUGGGGGAUUGAGCCUCAAGCUGUUUGGGAAGGUCUAGGUACUGGACCGCAUCAGAAUAUGAAAGCCCCGGUCUGAAUCUGACUCCCCUGUUGUGUAGGAGGCGGGAAAAGCGGAGGCAGACUCGUGAUGGUGGUCACAGGGCCUGAAUGGCCAAAAGUCUCUACCAGCCCCGUCCAAACACCGGACGAGGAUAGAGAGGAGCAGGGAAGGACAAAAAGACCCUGUCCCUGAACCAUGCACCUGCUGUACUGGCAGUUCUCUUUUACCGAUUUUCAGUCCUGCUGUCCUAGUCAGGGCUUACUCCAGGAAUCCAGACAGAUGCUCUAGUCCAAUUUAGUUUUGUUCCCAAGCCAUUUGUUUUCAUUUUGAUUGAACAUGAACAAACUGACCUCCAGCUCCUCUCUGUCCCGGAAGCGCUGUUGGAGUGGUUCUGGGCUCAUGGAAGACAGAGCGGUCCUUCUCAAACUGUCUGCUAAAGAGCCAGGGUUUUUGUUUUGUUUAUUUCACCCAGUCCUGCGUACGCUCAGAUGUGUUCCCGUUGCCCGUGACAAGUGCAGUUCACACAGCGUGCCACCCACCAUGCAGGCUUGGCCACACCCAAGCUGACCAGACCCCUUUCAGCAGGCUGAGUCCACUGAUCAUGCACCUGGACAGCACAGCAAUGUCAGAACGCUAAGACAUUUCUAGACACUCUGAACUUGUAACUCAUCAUGUUGCAGACGGGUACAAAACUGUUCACAGACCGGUACAAGUCUCUGAACCACCUUGGGUAGCACUGCUCUGGGGCCCUCCUCGGUCUCCACAGCUCCGUCGGCCACACUGGUAUGUUUCUGUACUUAUUCUCUCUCACGUGAGGGUUGCCUCCAGUCCACUUUUUCUUUGGCUAGGGUGUGUCGCUGUAAGGACCUCUAUAUUAUUUUUGGAGCCUUUUCUUUUGCUUAAAAAUAACCAUUAAGAAGUUUAGGUUUAAGCUGUAUGUAGAGUUUUUAUGCUGCUCUCAGACCUUAAAGGAGGUACCCCUUUGUUCGAAGAUUCUGUAUGUUAGAAAAUAAAUUUGUAGUUGUUUGGAUGGUU